rnacentral:rRNA from 1 species
UGACGAGUUUGAUCCUGGCUCAGGACGAACGCUGGCGGCAGGCUUAACACAUGCAAGUCGAGCGCCCCCGCAAGGGGAGCGGCAGACGGGUGAGUAACGCGUGGGAAUCUACCGUGCCCUACGGAAUAGCUCCGGGAAACUGGAAUUAAUACCGUAUACGCCCUUCGGGGGAAAGAUUUAUCGGGGUAUGAUGAGCCCGCGUUGGAUUAGCUAGUUGGUGGGGUAAAGGCCUACCAAGGCGACGAUCCAUAGCUGGUCUGAGAGGAUGAUCAGCCACA